UCCCUGGUAGCUCAGCGGUUAAAGCAUCUGCCUGCAAUGCAGAUGACCCGGGUUCGAGCCCUGGUUUGGGAA
rnacentral:tRNA from 1 species